rnacentral:rRNA from 1 species
GACGAACGCUGGCGGCGUGCCUAAUACAUGCAAGUUGAGCGCUGAAGGUUGGUACUUGUACCAACUGGAUGAGCAGCGAACGGGUGAGUAACGCGUGGGGAAUCUGCCUUUGAGCGGGGGACAACAUUUGGAAACGAAUGCUAAUACCGCAUAAAAACUUUAAACACAAGUUUUAAGUUUGAAAGAUGCUAUUGCAUCACUCAAAGAUGAUCCCGCGUUGUAUUAGCUAGUUGGUGAGGUAAAGGCUCACCAAGGCGAUGAUACAUAGCCGACCUGAGAGGGUGAUCGGCCAAAUUGGGACUGAGACACGGCCCAAACUCCUACGGGAGGCAGCAGUAGGGAAUCUUCGGCAAUAGACGAAAGUCUGACCGAGCAACGCCGCGUGAGUGAAGAAGGUUUUCGGAUCGUAAAACUCUGUUGGUAGAGAAGAACGUUGGUGAGAGUGGAAAGCUCAUCAAGUGACGGUAACUACCCAGAAAGGGACGGCUAACUACGUG